AGAAACUCCAAUCGGGUGUGAGGAGAAGCAGACAAAACCAGUUGCUCGCUAGGUUGGUGAGGCUUUUCGACACACCAUCCCAACAUACAAUAGCGUUGGCAGCAGAAGAAAGAUGCUUCCAGCAAAAUCUCCCCGCCUCGUUGAAGGUGACGCAACAGUUGCCGUCUUCCGGCAUCGGGUCUCGGGUUAUCCUUUCCACGCCACGGUGGGUACACGUUCGCUGUGACCUUUAGCUAUUUAGCUAUUGACUACGGACAACAAAGUUUGAAAGCGAGGGCCAACAUUGACGUUCCGUAGACGAGGAGUAGUUCGAUAAGAGACUGUUCAGUUUUCAAACGAGCGUGAGAGCCGCUUAUAGGGCCCCAUAUGGAUAGAGCUGAAUCGGUUAGCGCUUCUUCUUCCUCCUUGGCGGUACAACAACCUUGAAGACGGGGGUCUGUGACUUGAUUUUACCCGUAGCAAAGAAGUCAGCCCUGCGUACGGAGAGGAUGGGCUUUGAUCUCCGUCCUGCCGUCUGAAGACCGGCGCCUCUGUCACCUCGCCCACCGAACUGCUCCAAUCCGUCAGAAUAUCUUCCCUUUAUCAAUCACAACGACAAGCAAAUGAAAUACGACGACGCACACACAAUACGACAAAAUGGUAGUAUUUAUUUGGAGUAUUAAAGCAAACAUUACAUUGGCAACGUAUAUAUCCUGCAAAAAAAAA